rnacentral:rRNA from 1 species
CCUACGGGUGGCAGCAGUGGGGGAUAUUGCACAAUGGGGGGAACCCUGAUGCAGCGCCGCCGCGUGGGUGAAGAAGCGCCUCGGCGCGUAAAGCCCUGUCAGCAGGGAAGAAAAUGACGGUACCUGAAGCAGAAGCCCCGGCUAACUACGUGCCAGCAGCCGCGUGAAGACGUCGGGGGCAAGCGUUAUCCGGAUUUACUGGGUGGAAAGGGGGCGCAGGCGGCGGUGCAAGCCAGGAGUGAAAGCCCGGGGCCCAACCCCGGGACUGCACUUGAAACUGGGUGGCUGGAGUUCAGGAGGGGCAGGCGGAAUUCGUGGUGUAGCGGUGAAAUGCGUAGAUAUCAGGAGGAACACCGGUGGCGAAGGCGGCCUGCUGGACUGCAACUGACGUUGAGGCCCGAAAGCGUGGGGAGCAAACAGGAUUAGAUACCCCAGUAGUC